UUGUAUCAUCACACCUUACUCCUGUCUCUUGCUGAUAUCGUAACUGAGGCUGGUGAACCAUGAAUACCAAGAGCAUUGUAUUCCUGCUGGUGCUGGUGAUCGUGGCCGUCACCGUUGUCAAUGGAAGCAUCAAGUAUCCCUGCCCACAAGUCAACGGGUUUUGUGUAAAUUUUUGUAGUUACGGACAAGAAAUAUCUACCGGCAUCUGCUACGGCAAUAAUAUAUGUUGCAGGGUAAAACAGCAUUACCACUAGUCCACAACAGUGGCCAGACCUGACGGACGCCACCAUGACCUAUAAGAAGACACCCUCAACUGUGUUUGGUGAUCAUCGACGAAACUUUUGUUUUCACAUGCGAUUAGAGAACUUGCUUUACCUAUGAUUUUUUUUAAGCAUUUGGAUUCUGCAACAACCUUUAUUUUCUUGUUCUUGCACAUUUUAAGAAAUGAUGAAGAAUAUUAGUAAAAUUUAAUUUAACUUGAGACUUGCGUCAUUAGCAUGCGCAUCUGCUUAUUUUUGACGUGUAUUGCCUUGUUAAUUCCCUCAUCUAUAAAUGAUAACAUUCAUCUUUGUUUUGAGAGCUUGAUAAUAAAAUUGUUAUAUUAUAAUUAAAAUAAUUGCCUCUUA